ensembl:lncRNA
AAAUGACUUCAUGGAGUCAGUUGAAAUCGGCAUGAAGGAUUAAUGUGAAAAAAACCUAGAUCUAGAAAACCUAGAUCUAGAUCUAAUGGUCCCAAAGUUCUAAGCAUAAAUGUACUUUUAAUUUGACCCAAAAUUGGCAAAAAAUUUUUGCCACUAUUCCCAAUCAGUGUGCCAAAUUUUUGCAACUUUUUACCAUAUGAUUCUAGGAGCUGCCAUAGACUUCCAGCACAGAAGAAGAAUAGUAGAGCAUCACUCUACAAUCAACAAAAACAAUAGUGUUUCAGCUCCAUCAGUGCUUGACCCUUCAACUAAGAUUGAGAUUGAGAACCAUAUUCAUUCUUCAUUUUCUUUGCUCUACUGAAGCUGUAACCAGUGGUGAGUUUUAUUGUGGACAUGUAAACUUCUCUGAGCCAUUCUUGCUCCUUAAACAUAUAAAAAUGUUUUAGUUAUGUGUGUUUAAUGGUUGAAUCUACACCUUGCAUGUAUUGCUUAACCAGUAUUCUUUACAAAAGAUAACAUUCAUAAACCAAGUAGGUCUUAUUUCCUGAUUUAACAUUGUUUCAGCAUAUACACCUUCUUGCUGUGUAAACUUGCACACCUUGCCACAGCUACUUCAUUUUGUUGUAUAUUUGGACAUUGAAGUUUCAUCUGUGUGAAUUUCAGAGUCAAUGAUUCUAAAAGCCAUUCUCUGAUACCAACACUUUAUUAUCAUUUAAUAAAAACAAACAUAUGUGGUACACUUAUACAUGUUUUAUUUUAUUAGUCAUGGUGCAAGAAAAAACAGUAUCAGACAGACUUCAGAGGUCUCUUCAUUCAGCUCCUUGUCAUUAUGGGUUGCCUUUGCAAUCCUUUCCAUCCUUUCCAGGUCCGUGACCGUGACCAUGACCAUGACCAUGUCCGUGACCAUGACCCUUGCCUUGCCCUUGUCCUGGUCCUUUUCCCUUGCCUUCACCUUUGCCUUCACCCUUGCCUUCACCCUUGCCUUCACCCUGGCAUUGUUUGCUCUUAUCGCACUGCAGAAGAAAUAUACAUGAGUGUCAUAUUUUUAAAGCAUAUAAUGCUAUUGUUACAUAUGUAUAUUAUAUGUACAGUACACAUGCAUAUCAUUAGCACAUAUGUCGGAAAGAAGAAAAGAAGUGUAGCUGUUACCUGAGGGGUUUUAUCUUUCCAUGUAAAAAGAGAAAACAGAGCACAUAUUUUAGACUGAAUAAACAAAAUUAUCUUUUAGAAAUAGUUAUAGAACAUAGAAAAAAAGUAUAUAUAUAUAUAUAUAUAUAUAU